UUAAGCAAGAGAAGGCUUGAAGGAACUUACUGCCGUGAUUUCACUCACCCUCCCCUGUCCUCUGCUCCGCAACGUCUGCGUGUGUCUUCGUGUUCCUCCCUCUCUGUUCCUAUUCUAAAGCGCACUAGGGCUUAUACAUCGCGUAGAAAGAUCUGUCACGAGCAGCGGUUGGCUUCCCCCUCCGACUGCCUCACAAGGAAAGCCACAAAGGGCUCUCGCUCACCCGCACGCCUGCUCAGGCGCUAGAGAGGACGACAUCCCCUCCCUCGUUUCCUCAUACGUCUCUACUCCACACAGGUACACACACGCACACAGGAGGGGGGGACAAAAGACUGAGGGGUGUAGGCAACGGAGUGUAAGAGUUGGUCUUCAUACUUUGCGCAUUUUGCUUACCUCCCACUCCUCUUUUUUUUUCUACCGCUCCUUUCACUCCCCCUUCCCAGCUCCCUCUCUCACCCACUCACCCACUCUCUUUGUUGGUUUCCUUGAUUGUGUUCUUUGUGCUCGCCGUCUCUCUCUCUCUCUCUGUGUUGUGCGUGUGUCUGUGCCUGCUGCCUUGUGUUCCUUUUUUCCCGUUUUGUUUUGCGCCCCCCCCCCCUCCCUCCUCUCUCGUUUUCUCGCCUUGACAGCUGCCGCUGCCCCCUCGUCUUCUUUUUUCGCCAGUGAGGGGGGCCUUGUUUUUUACGUAUUUCCCCUUUUCGGCCUUACUUUCUCCCUCUUCACUCCCCUAUUUUCCACCCGCCCCACCCACCCCCCACGCUCUUACACUCUACUUCAUCGUGUGUGUGUGUGUGUGGCUCUCCAUACGCUCCUGCGCUGGGUGCUUCUCUUCGAGUGGUUUUCUCUGCAUCUUGCAACAUCAACAUCGUUACCCACUUCUCCCCUACCGUGCAAGGUGCUCCUCGACGGUUCUCAAUUCCUUCAUUCUCUACACCUCUCUCCUCGUCCUUUUCGUUGUCUGUAGCGAUGCCGCGCGUGUUUGCUAGGCCCUGCACGUCGUUAAGCGCAUUCCAGAUGAAGCCAUACAGCACGAUGGAGUGCGGCGCAGAGCGUCAAACGCAUGACAUGCUGCGACACACUGUAGAGCGGCUGUGGCACCCGUUCACGCAGGGCUAUCGAGGUGCAGAUCUCAAUAUCUACCGCUUUCGCGAGAACCUCGCAGGCCUUUGCUGCCCUGGUAACAUCUUUACCUGCCAGGUAAAUGGCCUUUUAGGUGGCACACGGGUGCUGGAAGACUUUUUCGCCACGUUGCUAAGCGGGUUCGACAUUGUUCACGCAUCUGUCGAGGGCUCACGUGGGAAGCCGCUGUCGAAUCCGGCUGAUAUAUGCAACUACACGGGAUAUUAUGUGCUGGCUCACACUCGCCCUUUUCUGGGGUGGCAGCCGUCGCCGACGUCGCUACGCAGCACAGGGCCCACUUCCGCACUACCGGGGACAACUAUCCGUAGCAGUGUCCAGUACGAAUUCAACGGCGCAACACCAGAGACGGCGUCGCGUUCGGCAUUCCUGCUCAACGACUGCGAUGGCGUCGAGGCUACUGACGCGACGGCGACGGUUGACGGUGACCCCGACCCAUCGUCGAAAAUCUCCACGCUGAUCGUGCCAUUCACCACAUAUGUGGAAGGGUUGGUUGAUCACAGCCGCCUCUCGCAUGUCGUUUUGCGGACGCCCGUGAUGGAGCUGCUGCGCACUCGUCCCGAGUGCCCGGAGGCGGUGCAGAAGUGCCUUGAAAGUCGUGAGGCGCUGAAGAUCUUCGCGACGCUGCGCCGCGCAGGUGUAAAACCGGAGCUGAUCACUGCCACGACGCUCCUGAGUGCCUCAAAGCGAGAUCCGGCGUGGAUGUCGGCACUCGGCAUCCUGUAGACUUGGCGGUCAGAGUGAGAAAAGGAUACAGUGAGCGCUGUGAGAGCUUUCCAUCUCAUUGACACGAAGGGCGCGGCUGAACGCGCAGGCGCUCUUUCAGGUUCACGAGCUUUCACGCCAGCGUGAAAGGCAACAAUCGCUAAAUUCGAGUGCGACGGUGAGCUUGUUUAUGUAGGGACGACGUGCAUCCUCUGAAACUCAAGAUAUUGCGUCAACAAGUGCAGCUGUGCUGGCUGCAACUAUUUCUUGAUGUCUUUCGGGCUCCACCAGCUCUCUCACACGAAUCGCCGUCGCCGCACGUCUCGUUUUUCUUUUCAGUCUCCAUGUACGGUCCCGCUCGCGCUGCACGGUCUCCCUCCCGUCGGGUGUCUGUGGCUGCCCCUCACACCCUCUGUGCCUCCUCAGGAGGACAAGCGAUGGUCUCUUUGUGCGCAGGCACAUGUCUAUGCAUGGACCCCUUCCGCUCCGCACGCCCAGUCCUGCGAAAGACGUGCGGGUUUGAGAGGAAGGUGAAAUGCCCCCUGCUGCCAGAGACUCAUGGCAGCGUCCCACCUGCCGCGGCGCACAUGCGGGCAGGCUGCCCAGGCACCCACCCCUCCGUGGCAUCGGCGGGAAUGGAAGAUGCAGCCAGCCAGCCCCUCCCUCCUCUCCCCGCCCUCAGGCAACAACGCCGCUCUGAGGCAGACCCCAGGAUGCCGAAAGGCGAGCACUGUGCGCACCCGCUGCGAACCGUUGCUGGCAUGAUGUAUGACAUGGCCGCAAAGGUGCCCAGAGGUGAGAAGCGCAAGAAUAACAGCCGCAAAGGGCGCGAAGGGGUCCCAUGCCAAUGCGCCCCACAGUGCGUGUGUGCGAACUAUGCUGCAUCUCCUACGGCCGACCGAGUGGGCUGAUGAGGCGCAGAUCUCGGAUGCGUGAGAGGAGCGCCUUGAACUGCACCAUCCAGUCCUCCGGACCACAGUGCGGAAUGCCGCGGCUUGAAGCGGCUGAGGGUGACGCACGGCAUACAAGGAGGGUACAGGAUGUCAGAGGGCUUCUGAGCUGCGGUUGGCCAACUUACUUCGUGGGCUCAUCCUACAUGCACCUGACCCCACCUCCUCUUGCUCACACGACGGACGCCAUCGCCUCCGCCUUCGAGCCAGGCCCUGGACGCGGCCCUCCUGCAUCAAGGCGUGCGACUCACCCGAGCCCGUGUGGCGCCAGCCGAGCAGCGCGUAUGCGAAGGAGGGACACGAGGAGGCCGUUAGACGCAUGGCCUGACUCGAGGGCAGCAGUCCCCUCCCCCCCUCCCCCUCCGAGGGGGGGGGGCAGAAAUUCAGCCGUAGUGCUAGAGAGGCUCGGUGAGCUGUGAUUGUGUGUGUGUUCGUGUGUAUUAUUGCGGACCUGUUCGUGCCAGAAUGGCCUGCUGAGAAGAAAUGAAUUCUUGCUUGUGGUGUGUCUGUAUAGGCGUUUUCUGUGCAGUGACUCAGUAUGUGUUCUAGGUCUGUCCUCCUUGUUUUUCCAUGCCGUCUCUCUGUUUGUCCAUUGCCUGUGACCGCGUUCACGCAGCCCUGCACGGUUGCCGUGAUGUAGGCUUGUUUGCGGGUUUGCGUGUCGGAUGGAUCUGGGGGUGCAUAGACUGAGGAUCGACAGUGGAUGGGAGAAGGUGUGGCGGGAAAGCGGUCUGCGUGAAAACGCGCAUACGUGCAGACGAGGAAACGCGUAUUCAGGCUUCGACCACCACCCAUAAAAAUACGCCAAAGAAAAGAACAGUCAAUGGGCCCUUUUUGCUUCAAUUCGAGGGAAAGAGAGAGGGGGACAGGAGAACUGUAUGCAGACGAGCGAGUCUCGCGUGUUUUUCCGAUGUCGUCUUCGAUUCCCGCAUCCUUUAUAUGAUAUCAUGAUUAUUAUUACAUAGCUUUUUUUUUUCUUUCGUUCUGCGGGUGUGUUAGAGAGAGAGAGAGAGCUUGAGUAUGUGUGGCAGAUGCGUGUGGUGCCCCGCGUGUGUGUCUGCGUGAUAAAAGACGUUGUGCUUUGUCAGUCCAUGGGUCACACUCACUGCCCAAGAGAAGUGUAACCGCUGCUGCUCUUAUUUUUCCUCCUCUUCGUUCUUUUCGCGACUCCUCGUGUCCCCUUCAUCGCCAAAUACCCCCUACCCGUCUUUUGUUCAACUCACGUGCAACGCGUGUGUAUUUCAGAAGAGUAUCGUCUCCGUCUCUCUUCCUGCUCCUGACAUGACCCAAUCUUUUUUUUCCUCCUUGUGCCCUCAGCCAUCGCACCUCCCUUCUUCCAGUUGUGUGGCACCGCAUGGCUUCCUCUCACACUCUGCCUUUUCGUCUCGGAAAGCUUCCGUUGACGCCGUUUUUUUUUCCCCCUUUCGCCCUCUGUGGUUUUUUUUUUGUUCGUUUCUCUCUCCAAUUCGCCAUUUUCGUAUUUUGUGUUCUGCGUGUGCGACGCUUGCCUCUGCUCGGCUGCGCGGAUUUCGUAUUCGUUCGUCUCUCUCUCCGCGCACUUUUCUUCUGCAGCCUCUUACCCAUGCCGAUGCCUCGAAUUCAUGACAAAAGAGGCAAAGAAUGAUUCUAGCACAAGGAAGAGGAAAAAGGAAAAUACGCGUGAGAGGAAAAGAGGGUGGAAGUGGUGAUCCUGAACAAGGAGUUGAACUACGGCAGCACCGCGGCAUGCAGUGCAGCGGCAUACGGUGGAUGUGCUUUGCGUUGGGAAUCAACCCUCUCCGCGUGGAUAUGCGUGUAUGUGUCUGGCUCGACUGCUUUUCAUUUUUUUUUGUCUUUACAACCAAAAGCCUUUGUUGUGCCGAUACAUGGGCUACUGUUAACACGAGCAUUGUUGUUUGGGCUGGAGAUGGCGAUAGACGCUCAGGUAGAGACAGGGAGGGCAGUGAGCGUGCGACACGCUUCGGCUGCCUUGGCAUGGCUUUACCUCGAUGAAGAACCUCCUUUUUUUUGCCCUCUCUCCUGUUUUUCCUCAACAUGGUCCUCUUUGGUUUAGAUAAGCGCAUGUGUGCGUUGGCUUAUGGGUGGGUUCUCAAGAGCUCGCCUUUUUCCCCCUCUUGUUACCCCCUCGUGUCUUUUAUCGUGUUUGUUUUGUGCUUGCUGUCUUUCGGUUCCAAUGGUUCAUGCUGGUGUGUUUCCCUCUUCUCUGUUUUUUUUUCUUGCCGAUGGCGAUGACGGCGUUUUGUGCGUACGCUUCCAGGACUGCUCUCCCCAUUUCUCUUCCAAGCCGACACGAAACCCGCUUGACUAUCUCCGCUCGUUUCGGUUUCUCUUCCAUGUACCCCUGCUUCUCCCCCUUUUUCCAUGUCUUCAAAAGCCCUGAUCAGCUAACCAAAUCAAGACAAAACACGUGAUAUGAUUGGCUUCAUUGCUGGCUUUCUCUUCCUUCGUUUUCGGGGGAGGUCGCACCCGUCAACGGCUUCUUUUUUUUUUUCGUUGCUUUUCUGGUUUUGGAUGUGAAGAAGAAUGCCAUCUUGUGCGUUUCGUCUUUCCUUAUCCUCCCUUCUCUACGUUCGCCUCACUUGUCGUUCUUCUCGCCGAUCCUUCUCGCACGCUCUCGCCGACCCUGCACACUGCGCAG
rnacentral:misc_RNA from 1 species